CCAUUUUCAAUCCGCCGCCGCUUCCUCCUCCCCUCGGGACCGGCGCUGUCGUUAGACGUCAUCCCUCUCUCGGCGCGUUGCAGUGACGCGGCUGGCGGGAAAGUGGCUGCUGCCUGCGUCAUGGGGCUCCCCGGCCACCCGGGCCUGCAGCGCCGCGGCACCAUGGCGGGGGGGAGCUGGGGCUUCCCUGCAGGCGGGGAGCGAUUGUUGUUAUGUGUAUUAGGGUAGGGCCUACAGGCCAGGGCCCCAUUGUGCUAGGCGCUGACCAACAACCUCCCAGCGGGGCCCCCGCCCCGCCCCGCCCCGCGGAGCACACGGGAGCCCUGUGCAACCCCACAGAGCUGCGGGGCCCUUGUGGUCCCCACUGCUGUGCCCGCGGCACGGGGCUCUGCCCUUAGCCGCAGAGACAGCGAUGGGGAGGCAGAACAGUGCUCAAAAAUCACGAGCCAGGCUGCAAAAUCCUACGAUCAACAGCCUGCGGAUGCUGAUGGACCUAUUGAGAGGCACCUAUUGGAGGACCUAUUGAGAGGCACCUCUUUCCCAUUGGCUACAACAAGAGUCCAAAAGGACUGAAUGUUUUGGAAAGAAAUAGAAGAUACACUGGGAUUGAAGUUCAAAUUAGCCCAACCUGGGAAAACCCACUGGCUUUCUGAUGAGCAAUUCUUGGCUGUUGUCUUAAAAUAACUGCAACCAUUAUUACUGGCUUUGGAAAGUAUCCACCAAGAUAGGAAUCUGUCCUUAGUGAGGCUGGUGGACAACGUUUGUUACUUAGUUCAGAGAAGACUAUCGCAGUUCUCUCUCUUGUAAGUCUACUGUUGAAAUCACUUGGGUCAUUAAACAAUGUCAUUCGGGCAUCUUCUACAACAGUAGUAGAUCUUUGUCCAGCAAUAGAAGCCACCCUUGUAUCAAUCAGAGAUAUCAAUUGAAAAUGUACUGCAAGAAGCAAAGACUUCAGUCCAGAGAUAUCAAUUGAAAAUGUACUGCAAGAAGCAAAGACUUCAGUCCAGAAGUUGACUAAUGAAGGUAUUUAUAUUGACUCCUUAAGUGACAAGGACAAGAAGUGUUUGUUAAGCCAGCUGAAAAAGUACACAGACUAGAUUCUUACAAAUCUACAAUAGCCAUUUCUGGAUUCUACUCAACCUUCAUGUAGCUUUUACAGAUGCCUGUCUUAUAAAACACCUACAACUGAGUUGAGUGAGGCACUACCAGCAACGGGCUGCUAUGUGAUCAGGACAGAACAGAAAAUUUUGAACACAGAGUGGAAUAUCAUAUGACAAACGAAAGAAGAUUUAAUUUCAACUUCUUUAUCAUCACUAGUGGUUUGACCCAGUCUUUGUACUAUGUUUCCUAGGAUGAAAGAAGUAGGAAUCCAUCUCUUGCUACUCCCAGUCACAACAGCUACAGUUGAGCACUCUUUUCCCUCAUUGAAUAGAAUUUUGUGUUCUGAAAGAAGUUGCCUUUUCCUGAUCAUGAACAUAUCAUGAAGGACUGGAAGUACCGGACACACAAGAAGACACCAAAGAGUGCAAAAUUACAACAAGAAACCAAGAAGGAUGUUGAUGUAGCGCUUCAUAGUAGGCUUGAGUAGCCAACCUUAAUUUCUGUGAUGAUUUUAAAACAU